rnacentral:rRNA from 1 species
AUGCUGACAUAAGUAACGAUAAAGCGGGUGAAAAGCCCGCUCGCCGGAAGACCAAGGGUUCCUGUCCAACGUUAAUCGGGGCAGGGUGAGUCGACCCCUAAGGCGAGGCCGAAAGGCGUAGUCGAUGGGAAACAGGUUAAUAUUCCUGUACUUGGUGUUACUGCGAAGGGGGGACGGAGAAGGCUAUGUCAGCCGGGCGACGGUUGUCCCGGUUUAAGCGUGUAGGUGUGUGUUCCAGGCAAAUCCGGUUCACUUUAACACUGAGGCGUGAUGACGAGGCACUACGGUGCUGAAGUGAUAAAUGCCCUGCUUCCAGGAAAAGCCUCUAAGCAUCAGGUAACACGAAAUCGUACCCCAAACCGACACAGGUGGUCAGGUAGAGAAUACCAAGGCGCUUGAGAGAACUCGGGUGAAGGAACUAGGCAAAAUGGUGCCGUAACUUCGGGAGAAGGCACGCUGAUAUGUAGGUGAAGCCCCUGCGGGUGGAGCUGAAAUCAGUCGAAGAUACCAGCUGGCUGCAACUGUUUAUUAAAAACACAGCACUGUGCAAACACGAAAGUGGACGUAUACGGUGUGACGCCUGCCCGGUGCCGGAAGGUUAAUUGAUGGGGUUAGCGGCAACGCGAAGCUCUUGAUCGAAGCCCCGGUAAACGGCGGCCGUAACUAUAACGGUCCUAAGGUAGCGAAAUUCCUUGUCGGGUAAGUUCCGACCUGCACGAAUGGCGUAAUGAUGGCCAGGCUGUCUCCACCCGAGACUCAGUGAAAUUGAACUCGCUGUGAAGAUGCAGUGUACCCGCGGCAAGACGGAAAGACCCCGUGAACCUUUACUAUAGCUUGACACUGAACACUGGUCCUUGAUGUGUAGGAUAGGUGGGAGGCUUUGAAGCGUGGACGCCAGUCUGCGUGGAGCCAUCCUUGAAAUACCACCCUUUAAUGGCUGGUGUUCUAACGUGGACCCGUAAUCCGGGUUGCGGACAGUGUCUGGUGGGUAGUUUGACUGGGGCGGUCUCCUCCCAAAGAGUAACGGAGGAGCACGAAGGUUAGCUAAUCCUGGUCGGACAUCAGGAGGUUAGUGCAAUGGCAUAAGCUAGCUUGACUGCGAGAGUGACGGCUCGAGCAGGUGCGAAAGCAGGUCAUAGUGAUCCGGUGGUUCUGAAUGGAAGGGCCAUCGCUCAACGGAUAAAAGGUACUCCGGGGAUAACAGGCUGAUACCGCCCAAGAGUUCAUAUCGACGGCGGUGUUUGGCACCUC